rnacentral:rRNA from 1 species
GAUGAACCUUCUCGACAGGCUUAACACAUGCAAGUCGAGGGGCAGCAUGGUCUUAGCUUGCUAAGGCCGAUGGCGACCGGCGCACGGGUGAGUAACACGUAUCCAACCUGCCGUCUACUCUUGGACAGCCUUCUGAAAGGAAGAUUAAUACAAGAUGGCAUCAUGAGUCCGCAUGUCCACAUGAUUAAAGGUAUUCCGGUAGACGAUGGGGAUGCGUUCCAUUAGAUAGUAGGCGGGGUAACGGCCCACCUAGUCUUCGAUGGAUAGGGGUUCUGAGAGGAAGGUCCCCCACAUUGGAACUGAGACACGGUCCAAACUCCUACGGGAGGCAGCAGUGAGGAAUAUUGGUCAAUGGGCGAGAGCCUGAACCAGCCAAGUAGCGUGAAGGAUGACUGCCCUAUGGGUUGUAAACUUCUUUUAUAAAGGAAUAAAGUCGGGUAUGCAUACCCGUUUGCAUGUACUUUAUGAAUAAGGAUCGGCUAACUCCGUGCCAGCAGCCGCGGUAAUACGGAGGAUCCGAGCGUUAUCCGGAUUUAUUGGGUUUAAAGGGAGCGUAGAUGGAUGUUUAAGUCAGUUGUGAAAGUUUGCGGCUCAACCGUAAAAUUGCAGUUGAUACUGGAUAUCUUGAGUGCAGUUGAGGCAGGCGGAAUUCGUGGUGUAGCGGUGAAAUGCUUAGAUAUCACGAAGAACUCCGAUUGCGAAGGCAGCCCGCUAAGCUGCAACUGACAUUGAGGCUCGAAAGUGUGGGUAUCAAACAGGAUUAGAUACCCUGGUAGUCCACACGGUAAACGAUGAAUACUCGCUGCUUGCGAUAUACAGCAAGCGGCCAAGCGAAAGCGUUAAGUAUUCCACCUGGGGAGUACGCCGGCAACGGUGAAACUCAAAGGAAUUGACGGGGGCCCGCACAAGCGGAGGAACAUGUGGUUUAAUUCGAUGAUACGCGAGGAACCUUACCCGGGCUUAAAUUGCAGAUGAAUUACGGUGAAAGCCGUAAGCCGCAAGGCAUCUGUGAAGGUGCUGCAUGGUUGUCGUCAGCUCGUGCCGUGAGGUGUCGGCUUAAGUGCCAUAACGAGCGCAACCCUUGUUGUCAGUUACUAACAGGUUCCGCUGAGGACUCUGACAAGACUGCCAUCGUAAGAUGUGAGGAAGGUGGGGAUGACGUCAAAUCAGCACGGCCCUUACGUCCGGGGCUACACACGUGUUACAAUGGGGGGUACAGAGGGCCGCUACCACGCGAGUGGAUGCCAAUCCCAAAAACCUCUCUCAGUUCGGACUGGAGUCUGCAACCCGACUCCACGAAGCUGGAUUCGCUAGUAAUCGCGCAUCAGCCACGGCGCGGUGAAUACGUUCCCGGGCCUUGUACACACCGCCCGUCAAGCCAUGGGAGCCGGGGGUACCUGAAGUGCGUAACCAAGAGGAGCGCCCUAGGGUAAAACUGGUGACUGGGGCUAAG